GCCAUAUCAAGUUGAAUCACCGGUUCUCAUUCGAACAACCAAGUCAAGCAACAUCGAGCCUGGUUAGUACGUAGCUAGGUUACCGCUUAGAAAUACCAGGUAC